rnacentral:rRNA from 1 species
GACGAACGCUGGCGGCGUGCUUAACACAUGCAAGUCGAACGGUAAGGCUCCAGCUUGCUGGAGUACUCGAGUGGCGAACGGGUGAGUAACACGUGGGUAAUCUGCCCUGCACUCUGGGAUAAGCCUGGGAAACUGGGUCUAAUACUGGAUAUGACCUUUCUCCUUAUGGGGUUUGGUGGAAAGUUUUUCGGUGUAGGAUGAGCCCGCGGCCUAUCAGCUUGUUGGUGGGGUGAUGGCCUACCAAGGCGACGACGGGUAGCCGGCCUGAGAGGGUGAUCGGCCACAUUGGGACUGAGAUACGGCCCAGACUCCUACGGGAGGCAGCAGUGGGGAAUAUUGCACAAUGGGCGGAAGCCUGAUGCAGCGACGCCGCGUGAGGGAUGACGGCCUUCGGGUUGUAAACCUCUUUCAGCAGGGACGAAGCGUAAGUGACGGUACCUGCAGAAGAAGCACCGGCUAACUAUGUG